GACGAACGCUGGCGGCGUGCUUAACACAUGCAAGUCGAACGGAAAGGCCUUUUCGGAGGUACUCGAGUGGCGAACGGGUGAGUAACACGUGGGUGAUCUGCCCCGCACUCUGGGAUAAGCCUGGGAAACUGGGUCUAAUACCGGAUAGGACCGCACUUUAGUGUGUGUGGUGGAAAGUUUUUUCGGUGUAGGAUGAGCCCGCGGCCUAUCAGCUUGUUGGUGGGGUAAUGGCCUACCAAGGCGGCGACGGGUAGCCGGACUGAGAGGUUGGUCGGCCACAUUGGGACUGAGAUUCGGCCCAGACUACGACGGGAGGCAGCAGUGGGGAAUAUUGCACAAUGGGCGCAAGCCUGAUGCAGCGACGCCGCGGGGGGGAUGACGGCCUUCGGGUUGUAAACUCCUUUCGCCAGGGACGAAGCGGUUUGUGACGGUACCUGGAGAAGAAGCACCGGCUAACUACGUG
rnacentral:rRNA from 1 species